UCCCCAUUGGUUGGAAAAUUAAAAUACUUGGCGGAAGUUAACCUAAAUCAUUAUUUUAAACUAUUUGGAAAGUUCGGCUGUUUUCGUAUGGAAGUUUCUGGCAAACAGAUUGGACCAUCAAUCGUGUGCCUCGAAGUUAAUUCAUAUACAUUUGGAAAAAUUAAAGUUGUUCAAUAUAUUACACCAAUCGAACCUUUGUUGCAAAAAGUUGUUCAUGAGUUUUACGGUCCUCGUUGGAUUGCGCCACUUAUGAAAAUAUUUAUUUAUGGAGAAAGUCUCAUGUUCGAACGCGAUAUUAGCAUAUGGAAUCAUAAAGUAUUUCAUCGGAAUCCUAUCUUAGCUAAGGAAGAUGCCUCGAUAAAGAAGUUUAGGCUGUGGUUCUCCCAAUUUUAUUCAUCGAACAGCAAAUUAUAUUCUGAAGCAACCAAUAUUGGUUGGUAGCUAAAUCUGUUCUGAAAUUUCAAAUCUUGUAAACGAAUUUAUAAUAUUUAAAAAUUAAAAAAAGUUUUUUUCGGCAUUUUAUACUGGAAAUUUCUCCGGACACAAAUUGUCAGCAGGACAAGCGUGGCUUUGAGACUGACGGCUAAGUGGAUAUGGUGUUAGAGGCUAACGAAGGCUGGUGAAGUCGUGGCGAGUUGUCCCCCCUCGCCGUUGCCUUCCUGGUGGUGCCACUUGCCCCGAACUUUAAGGACAAGGACAUAUUUUCGGUACCAUCGCUGCAAGACUGACAAAACAAGCCGCCAUCGCCGCAAGCAACUGAGACCAGCCUGGUCCGUAGCUCUGUACAAAUUGGGAGCAUUUCAUCUUCAGCAAGGAAUAUAGGAACGAAAAGUUUCACCAAGUGACCGCGUCAUCAUGAAUGAAUUGGUUCAAUCGUUGAACACGUGGGUCAAAUUUGGAGAUUUCACGAACUUUUUCAAUUAUUUUUUUGAUACUCAGUCGGUGACAAAGACUCUUCGAAAAUAAUGGUCUGUCGAGGACAAUGAUUCAACCUGUCUCUGAACUU
rnacentral:misc_RNA from 1 species